UGUCACAGACGCUCGUCUCCUGUCACCGGGGUCUGUGCCCUGCCACCGGGGUUUUGUAGCUUCCCAGCCCUUUUCUCUCCCUCUAGGGCCUUUCUGGGCUCCGCCGGGCUGCCCCCCCCCCCGCCCGGAGGCUGCCUCCCACGGUGCCCACUGGGGUGGCCCGGGCCCCUGAGUGAGGGCCAUGGCAGUGGCCGGGGCCCUGUGGUGGGCUCCCUCCUCGCUGUUGGCCCUCGCUGCUCUCCCAGGGAGACAGUGGCCAAAGGAAACCCCCUGAGCCUCGCCCAGACCAGCCUUUGUGGCGCUGCUUAGCGGGGCCGUGGUUUGGGGUGAGGUGACACAGAGCUGCUCUUCCCGCCUUAGCCCUCAGCCAUGCAGCAUAGUUCAUGGGGACAUUUGGGGUUGUUGCUUCCAGCUCAACCGUGGAUCGGCCGGCAAGUUUCAGCUUCUUCCUGAGAGCUAUGGUGAGAGCAGAUGUCUGAGCAUCAGUGUAUGGAGUCAUGGCUGUGCAAGUUUCUUCAUCUAGAGCCAGAUAAACAACUGGAUGGAACAGGGUAAUAGCCAAAUGUCAGUGAAAGAAGUGCAUUAAUCUAAAGGAGGUGAAUGAAUAUGCCUCCCUUUUUUUUUCCUCCAUGUAAAUCUUUCAUGAACAGAUGUAGCAGUGAAUAUAAAACUUCAGUCCAAAGCUCUCUUCGCAUUUCUUGUAGCUGAAAAACAGAUAUGUAAAAUCAGAUUAAGUGACACAGCUCAAAUAAAUUCUGUUACAGAGGACA